GCGAGUGAAAGGGGAAAAGCUCAAAUUUAGAAUCUGGCGGCUUUGCCGUCCGAGUUGUAAAUUAGAGAAGUGUUUUCCAUGUGGGCUCCGUCGCAUAAGUCUCUUGGAAAAGAGCAUCAGAGAGGGUGACAAUCCCGUCUUUGUGACUGGCGUCUGCUGUUGUGAUACACUCUCAACGAGUCGAGUUGUUUGGGAAUGCAGCUCCAAAUGGGUGGUAAAUUCCAUCUAAAGCUAAAUAUUGGCGAGAAACCGAUAGCGAACAAGUACCGUGAGGGAAAGAUGAAAAGAACUUUGAAAAGAGAGUUAAACAGUAUGUGGAAUUGUUGAAAGGGAAACGCUUGAAGUCAGUCUUGUUCCACAGAAAUCAGCCUGACUCCGGUUUGGUGGACUUUCUGUUGAACAGGUCAGCAUCAGUUUUGACCGUUGGAGAAAGGCUUGGGAAAUGUGGCAUCUUCGGAUGUGUUAUAGUCUGAAGUGUAAUACAAUGGUUGGGACUGAGGAAUCGAGUGUCACUCGGUUUGGGGCUUCGGCCUACAGAUGA
rnacentral:rRNA from 1 species